ACUGGUUUUAAGGUGGGAACACUGGCUUUAAGGUGGGAACACUGGUUUUAAGGUGGGAACACUGGUUUUAAGGUGGGAACACUGGUUUUAAGGUGGGAACACUGGCUUUAAGGUGGGAACACUGGUUUUAAGGUGGGAACACUGGCUUUAAGGUG